rnacentral:tRNA from 1 species
GGCCCCAUCGUAUAGUGGCCUAGUACGCCGCCCUCUCACGGCGGUAACACGGGUUCGAAUCCCGUUGGGGUCACCA